rnacentral:rRNA from 1 species
AACGAACGCUGGCGGCAUGCCUAACACAUGCAAGUCGAACGAGACCUUCGGGUCUAGUGGCGCACGGGUGCGUAACGCGUGGGAACCUGCCCUUAGGUUCGGAAUAACUCCCCGAAAGGGGUGCUAAUACCGGAUAAUGUCUUCGGACCAAAGAUUUAUCGCCUUUGGAUGGGCCCGCGUUGGAUUAGCUAGUUGGUAGGGUAAAAGCCUACCAAGGCGACGAUCCAUAGCUGGUCUGAGAGGAUGAUCAGCCACACUGGGACUGAGACACGGCCCAGACUCCUACGGGAGGCAGCAGUGGGGAAUAUUGGACAAUGGGCGAAAGCCUGAUCCAGCAAUGCCGCGUGAGUGAUGAAGGCCUUAGGGUUGUAAAGCUCUUUUACCCGGGAUGAUAAUGACAGUACCAGGAGAAUAAGCACCGGCUAACUCCGUG